rnacentral:tRNA from 1 species
GGAGGGGUACCGAAGUGGUCGUAACGGGGUCGACUCGAAAUCGACUGUCCCCUUAAUCGGGGACCGUGGGUUCGAAUCCCACCCCCUCCGCCA